rnacentral:rRNA from 1 species
AAUGAACGCUGGCGGCAUGCCUAACACAUGCAAGUCGAACGAGACCUUCGGGUCUAGUGGCGCACGGGUGCGUAACGCGUGGGAACCUGCACUUAGGUUCGGAAUAACUCUCCGACAGGGGUGCCAAUACCGGAUAAUGUCUUCGGCCCAAAGAUUUAUUGCCUUUGGAUGGGCCCGCGUUGGAUUCGCUGGUUGGUAGGGUAAAAGCAUACCACGGCGACGAUUCAUAGCUGGUUAGAGAGGAAGAUUAGCCACACUGGGACGGAGACGCGGCCGAGACUCCUACGGGAGGCAGCAGUGGGUGAUAUAGCAACACGGGCGGAGGCCUGAUCCAGCAAGGCCGGGAAAAUGAUGAAAGCAGUAGAGAUGUAAAGCGCUUUUAACCGGGAUGAUAAUGACAGUACCGGGAGAAUAAGCUCCGGCUAACUCCGUG